rnacentral:lncRNA from 1 species
CGCGGGGCCGCGCGGGGCGUGAAGCCAGAGACGGCGGAGGGGGUCAGGGCCCGCCCCGGGGUCGGAGCCGCCGCGGUCGUCUCCGGAUUUGGGCUGAAAACAGAAGGGGAAGGCGCCGAGCUUCCAGCCGUGCCGCUUCCUUUGUUGUCGUCGCGCGGUGACAUCACUGUCUGUGCCGCUCUCGGUGCUCCGGAGGCCGCGCGCUCGGCGCUGCCCGGCUUUGUCUGCGGCGCUCCGGCAGCAGCUGAACCGGAGUAACUUUUGUGCUGCCGGAGAUCCUAUUUCUUUCGGCUGCGUGAGGUUCCGGGAAGGGCUGUUUGGUCUUCUGUCCGCAGAGGACGUGUGAAUUUACGUCUGAUGACGAGCUGGGGAAAAACGCCGGGUGCUCUGUCACGUCCUCGCAGCCGUGGGUCCCGGCACGGCCCGGUCCUGAGCUCUGUGCUGCGGUGGCCCCCGAAAGGAGGACACGGAACUCAGGGCUGCGUUUGUCCUCUGCUUCGUCUCUGUCCCCUAAGGAGGAAAUGUACGUGGCUCUGAGAGCAGGACAUGAGCCCUGUCUGGAGGGAUCUGUGACAAUGACAGGAGCAAGUCCCCGUUCCUGUGUAUCACCCAACCCCCAGCCAGACCCGGCUGGCAACACAGCUGACAGAGGAAGAGCAAAUCCGAAUAGCGCAGAGGAUAGGCCUUAUCCAGCACCUACCGAAGGGAGUCUAUGAUCCUGGAAGAGAUGGCUCCGAGAAGAAGAUCAGAGAAUGCGUCAUUUGUAUGAUGGACUUUGUGUAUGGGGACCCUAUUCGAUUUCUGCCUUGCAUGCACAUCUACCACCUGGACUGUAUAGAUGACUGGUUGAUGAGAUCCUUUACCUGUCCAUCCUGCAUGGAGCCAGUGGAUGCAGCACUGCUUUCAUCAUACGAGACUAACUGAGCCAGGGUUUCUCCGUGAACCUUCAAGGAGACCAUCCACUUCAAUGGGUUUGAUCCUUUUGUCAUUCAGCCCAAAGAGCCAGAAAUUAGGAAUUAAGGUCAUGCACAAAACAUACAUUUCCUAAUGAAUAAAAAAUACUCCUGAAUGGCUGCA